rnacentral:rRNA from 1 species
GACGGGGGGGGCAAGUGUUCUUCGGAAUGACUGGGCGUAAAGAGCUCGUAGGCGGCUUGUCGCGUCGGAUGUGAAAGCCCGGGGCUUAACUCCGGGUCUGCAUUCGAUACGGGCAGGCUAGAGUUCGGUAGGGGAGAUCGGAAUUCCUGGUGUAGCGGUGAAAUGCGCAGAUAUCAGGAGGAACACCGGUGGCGAAGGCGGAUCUCUGGGCAUUACCUGACGCUGAGGAGCGAAAGUGUGGGGAGCGAACAGG